rnacentral:rRNA from 1 species
UAGCUAGUUGCAUCAUAGUAGAUAUGAUGCAAGAUCGACUAUGUUGAAUAAAAUUCUAGGUAGAAUUAUGAUAAUGACAUUGUCUGCCUAUGUGUCUUGACCAAAUUACGUGCCAGCAGUCGCGGUAAUACGUAGAAGACUAGUGUUAUUCAUGUUUAAUCGGUUUAAAGGGUACCUAGACGGUAGAUCAAGCUUUCUAAUAAAGGAAAAGGACUAGUUUACUAGAGUUACUUAUGAGGGGGUAUUAAAGUACUGCUGGUGUAGAGAUGAAAUUCUGUCAUACCUCUUUUCAAAAGAAAAACCAUGGCACAGGUAUAGGCGAAGGCAUCCCCUUAUGUGAUAACUGACGUUGAGGGACGAAGGCUUUGUGUAGCGAACAGGAUUAGAUACCCCAGUAGUCGAAGCAGAAAAUGAUGAAUGUCAUAGAUUAGAUAUAUAAGUUUAUUCUAUAAAUGAAAGUGUAAGCAUUCCACCUCAUGAGUAAUUUGGCAACAUUGGAACUGAAAUCAUUAGACCGUUUCUGAAACCAGUAGUGAAGUAUGUUGUUUAAUUUGAUGUCCCGCAAAAAACCUUACCACAAUUUGAAUAUUUAUAUUGUUUAUUGUUUUAUUAUUAAUUUUCUUGAACGGAAAGAUCACGUA